GACGAACGCUGGCGGCGUACCUAAUACAUGCAAGUCGAACGCUUUUUCUUUCACCGGGGCUUGCUCCACCGAAAGAAAAAGAGUGGCGAACGGGUGAGUAACACGUGGGUAACCUGCCCAUCAGAAGGGGAUAACACUUGGAGACAGGUGCUAAUACCGUAUAACACUAUUUUCCGCAUGGAAGAAAGUUGAAAGGCGCUUUUGCGUCACUGAUGGAUGGACCCGCGGUGCAUUAGCUAGUUGGUGAGGUAACGGCUCACCAAGGCAACGAUGCAUAGCCGACCUGAGAGGGUGAUCGGCCACACUGGGACUGAGACACGGCCCAGACUCCUACGGGAGGCAGCAGUAGGGAAUCUUCGGCAAUGGACGAAAGUCUGACCGAGCAACGCCGCGUGAGUGAAGAAGGUUUUCGGAUCGUAAAACUCUGUUGUUAGAGAAGAACAAGGAUGAGAGU
rnacentral:rRNA from 1 species